GGCUUAAUGUUUUUGUAUUGCAUAAAUAUGACAAGUAACUAUCCACUUAGCAGUAAGUUCGUCAUUAUCUUUAUAUUCGUCAUCAAAUGGAUUUAAUAUUAUGGUUGUAUUCAUGGAUCUUUCUGGACAGUGGGUGAUGUGUGUCGGCCGUUAACGUUAGCAUAUCUCCAUGGACAGCUAAGUGUCUAUGAUGUUAAAUUAUUAGGCCUAUGUUGAGUAUAACUAUUUUAUUCGUAAGUAUAAAAUGGAAGUUAACACAUCUCCUCCCAGUCGUUGUUUGGAAUUUUAGCCUUAGUCUCCCGGCCAGUUUCAUAAAUUUUCAUCAGCCAGCGAACAUUUUGUCCGAUGGGCAUGUGUAAUUUCUAGAAGUGCUAGUUCUUCAGAAAAAGGAUACGUGCCUAAGUACACUAAACCAACGUUAGUUCUGCUGCUGUGUUGUUCCGGUUUUUAUUCCAAACUUCCAUUUUCACUCCUAAUGUUCACCCUGACGUGAACAGGAAAUGUGCAUGAUAUCAUUUGACUGUUGUAGGCCCCUAGAGUACUUCUAGGUGUUUUCAUGACCGAUGUCAGUUAACUUUUUGGGAGCCAACGCAUGUGAGGCGAAACGUGUUUUUUACCUGACUUGGGAGUCAAAUGUUUUGAAUGUCUACUAUACAUUGAUUAAGGCAUUUUCACGCACGAGCAGGAAACAAUGAUACAUUACUAAUACUUAAUUCAAGUCAGUGGCAGGAAAUGAUAAACCAUAACCAGCAACGCAUUAAUUACAGCAAUGCAUUACUUUUUCUGCAACUCAGAGAAUACCUUAAGUUUGGCAGUUUUUUAGCAACUCAGUCAACAUUGCAUGUAAGCUUAACACAAUAAUGCAUAUUUUUUCUUUUUUGUGUCACUCCUCACCACAUAUGGCAGAUUUAGUGUGAAGAGCCACCUGUACAAGAUUCCUGGGACAGCAGAACAUGCACCUCACGCACUACCCUGGCACCCUGGCUGAACAACCCGCAGCACAUCAUCUCCAGCUGAGAGGGGGACUCAUACAUUCAUUUGAAAUCAGCUCUACUGAGGUGAAAUGAUCAAGAGUCAAAAGCAUGCUGAAGAGAUAAACUUGAUGAUGGCUAUGUUUAUUUAAUUAGCAUUGUUUAUAUAGAUUACACAUUCCUUGUAAAAAAAAAAAUAAUUAAAAAAUUAGUUGUCGGAGCAAGAUAACAUGCACUGCUCCACCUGGGUGUCUUCAGCAGUAUGCACAGCCCGUCGUUCAUUGCAACCUGAAGCUACUGUAGGCCAGGGGUCCCCAAACUUUUUUUUAAAUCUGGGGGCCACAUUAUUGUUCCUGACUGUGAUCAGGGGCUGGAAUCAAUACCAAUCAUGUAAAAAAGGUGUGUGUGUGUGUGUGGGUGGGGGGGGGGGGGGGGGUCAAAAUUCCGAUGUCAAUUUCAUUAAUUUUCUUGAUUUCUUUGUUUUCAUGGCUUUGGCGUUCUGAUUGCCCACCUUCAGUUGAAAUUUUAUCCUCAUCAAUAAGUAUGUAUUAACAAGGAACUCUUUGCAGGACAGACAGCUGGCGGAACAUAUAACAGCAUCCAAAUUCACACUCUGAUAUACUGCAGAUUUUAAGAGUGCCAGGACAUGUUUCCCUUUAGAAAUGUGGGGGUAUUGGCAUCUAAAAAUGUGUUCAAUUUGCUCUGUUGUACGCUGUAAUACAACACUUGGUGGGAAUAACCCAUCCCUGAACUGCUUAUAUCUGAAAAAGGUGUAUUUCUCCUUGAGUGUAUCUCUGUCCUCCUCGUUUGCCUCCCACAGCGUAACACAACUCUUGCAAUCAAAUUUGGCAGAGGCUCUGAAGGCCACAUAGCCAGCAAGGUUUCUACAGGCUGCCAGGUUGUUGCUGCCUUGGUCCAUUACCAGCACCAUGGGAGUGAAGCCAGUGUCAAGCACCUUUUCCACCGCCUCCAUGAUUUUGGUUUUUAAGACCCCAUGCUUCAUGGUCCCAGAUGACAAGAAGUACCCUAUGGGUUGUUUCCAUUUCCCAGUUAGACUACGGAUCAUGAAAACCCCUGCAUGGUUGGCUGGUCUUCCCCCUUCGUCAUACCCUUCUACUUCAUCUUUCGAGAUGUUAUAAUUUAGGCUACAUUUCAAUGUAAUUUCAUCAAAUGUGAUGGCAACGUGCCUAUCUCGCUCUUCCAUAUGCUGCACUUGAUGUUUAAGUGCAUACAGCACAGGUUCAUGCCAUCCCGGCCCGAUGUCUACUCUCUGCAAGAUAUUUGAAAGGGUCCUGGCUGUAGGGAGCUUGAAAAUUCUCCUCAUGGUUCGGUAGGCUUUUGGCCCUGUACCCUUAACCUGUAACGCCCAACUUUUCAUGAAGUUGCUCCACCGAAUGGCCCUUGGUUUUUUUUUGGCAUUAUCAAUUUGCUCGUUGACAAAUUGUGCGGCUUGUUUUGGCAAUACUUUGGAAAUUUCCCUCUUUAAUGUUUGUUUGCUGAUAGAUGGUGUCUUUUUCUUUAGCCUUGACAGCUUUGAUUUGUAGCAGCCAAUUUUUCUUUUCAGUUUUUCCACUGUGUUGUCAUUGCUGACACUGGCCAGUACAUCAGUGCCUAAAAAGAAAUGUGACAACUGUAACAACAGACUUAUGCACAGACUACUACCUAUGCAGUGUUCAACACUCAGAAUGUAUCUGUUACCACCAUUUGCCAUUAAAUCACUUACUAUCCAGGA